rnacentral:rRNA from 1 species
AGUGAACGCUGGCGGUAGGCCUAACACAUGCAAGUCGAACGGCAGCACAGUAAGAGCUUGCUCUUACGGGUUGCGAGUGGCGGACGGGUGAGGAAUACAUCGGAAUCUACUUUUUCGUGGGGGAUAACGUAGGGAAACUUACGCUAAUACCGCAUACUACCUACGGGUGAAAGCAGGGGAUCUUCGGACCUUGCGCGAUUGAAUGAGCCGAUGUCGGAUUAGCUAGUUGGCGGGGUAAAGGCCCACCAAGGCGACGAUCCGUAGCUGGUCUGAGAGGAUGAUCAGCCACACUGGAACUGAGACACGGUCCAGACUCCUACGGGAGGCAGCAGUGGGGAAUAUUGGACAAUGGGCGCAAGCCUGAUCCGGCCAUACCGCGUGGGUGAAGAAGGCCUUCGGGUUGUAAAGCCCUUUUGUUGGGAAAGAAAAGCAGCAGGUUAAUACCCCGCUGUUCUGACGGUACCCAAAGAAUAAGCACUGGCUAACUUCGUG